CUCUUACUCUCCCAAGCUCUGCUACCUAAUGCUGCUGUGAAAUAGCAAAUUUCCAAGGAACAGAGAAUUUUACUUCAUUUGGUAUCACAACAUUUUCCAGAAGAAUUUCCAGUUGCUUAAUGAAAAUUUGAACAUUGGACUCUACCAGUGUGGCAAGAGAGCUGUUUGUUCAUUACAUAUAAUGCUGGUCUGCCUUUCCUGUGUAAGAACUUGGCCAACAAGAAUUUACUGACCAUUUGAACCACACUGAUCUGGUGUCCCUGCAAAAUCAUGCUUUAAAAAAAUAAACAUUUUUCAGCAAAGGAGUUAUGGCAGUAGGGACAUCCUUGGGAUUCACUGAUUGUCUUCCUUACUGUACUGCCAGAGAUGAACAGGCAAUAAAAGGAGACAGCAUAUUGUCAAGAGUAAUUAGCCCUGAUCAUCAAGGAAAGGAAUAUCUUGUGCACGUUGAUUCCAGGAAGCAGAAAAGAAUGGAUUAUAGACACUGUGAAACUUAAUGGAUCCUCAGUAAAUGGAACAAAGUAAUACAUAUGGCAGAUAUUGAGUCUUUUGGAGAUUAUGUUCAGUUCUCUAUUAUAUUAACAUCUUCAGGGUUAGGGGGGUGUAUGAAUAUUUUAACUUUAAGGAAGAUACUACUUGAUACUAGUUGGAUGUUUUUCAAAUUUCCUUGAUAUGUAUCCUAGUAUUUUGCUGCCUUAAUGGAUUACUUCGUUUAUAUGGUGUUGUUUAUAAAUAAUGCCCUCUCAGAUUUGCUCUAUGUCAUACCUUCAAAGUAUUUGGCUGACUUUUUAAAAAGCAGUAGAAAAUUUAAAUUUUAGGGGAAUAUUUUCAGUCCUGGGAAUCUUCUAAAUGCUUCAGAAAUUAUCAAUACAAGGCAAAUAAAUGAAAUGAAAAAAAGACAUUGAAGAAAAAGCAGUGAAGUAGCUUUGAAAAUGAUUAAAGUUCCCGGACUAUAACGCGUUUGUCAUUAGUAUUUCCAUGUUAUAAAUACAAAAAUUUUGACCUACCAGUCCACUGAACUUACAGUUUUUAGUGAUAUAUUGAAAAUAUUUAUAAUAACCAAAAUAGCUACAUAGAAACUUUGGGAUGUAAGCAUGAUAGUAAUAUCUAAAAGAAUAUUUUAUAAUAAAAAGGUGGGAUAAGAGGUUUUGUUAUUACUAAAAUGAUUUAUUUAGCAUUGCUUUCCUUGAAACAUUUGCGAAAUGAGUACUUAAAAUAAUGGAGACCAAAAUAGCUUAUUUAUUUAUUUUCUUGCAUAUUUUUUCUCCAUAUAUACAUUUUUUUCCUGAUGAUGCAAUUAUUCAAUUCAAAAACUAAAUUUUCUCACUUCCUUAUAUAAAAUGUUUUUUCUUAUUAUUCUUUUUUAUUUUGUAAACAUAUAUUAACCAUUUCCUAAUACUAUUUAUUCUAAUUGCCUGGAGGAACCUUUUUUUCCUUUCCAAUUCAAGCAAAUUUUGGAGUGUGCCCUAGGUAGUUGAAAUAUUUUGGCUCAUGACCAAAUUUAAUUUUUUCUCUUCCUAAUGCAUCCUACCAGUACAAGUGACUAAUAAAAUAGACACUAGCUGGAUCUGGAGAUUAAUCCAGCACCAUUUUUUUCCUGAAUCUAAAAUCUCCAUCAUUAAUUUACCUACAAAUUAUUUUGACUCUAUACUUAUGAGGGAAGAAUUACUAUAGAUGUAGUGUGUUUCUUCAAACUGAUGUAGAAAUAAAUAUGAAAUUUGUCCUCUCUAGUUUGGAAAUAUGUAUUACUGAAAUAGCAUGUCAAAAAUACCUUCUUGUUAUCUGGGAAUUCAAUUUGGUCUUCAGCAAGAACACUCGUUUUAAUAAAAUAUAAAAAAAUAAAAUAAAUAUAUCUGCUGGAAUGAAAUCUGAGUUCUUGAGAAUAUAAUUUAAUAUGAGCCACUGAAUACAAGGUUAAUUCAUCUUCAUAGCAUGAGAAAUGAAAAGGAUUUGGGGGAUAAAAUGAGGUAGACCAGAAAGAAAUGUGGGUAUAACGUAUAGAAAAUACCAUCCCCAGAUUAUUUUACAAAGCAUCACAAAAUGAGACAUUUGAGAGACAAUUCUCCAUAGUUCUCUCUUUUCUCUCUUUUGAAUGACUCACUGACAGCCUUUGGUUUGGACAAUGUUUUUAAAGAUAUUUAUAUAAAAGUACGCCUUGAAAGGAAAGAUAAUCUCAUAAUAAAGAGGAGAAGGCUGAUUUGCUGUCUAGAAUAAGAACUGUAUUUUUUUUUUCUCUCUGUUGCAAACAUUGGGCCAGUUUGCUUAAACGAUAGCAACUGGAGUUGCUAAAGCGUAUGCUUCUUCAUUCAGGGCCCAAAUCCACCAAUGUGCAGCAUGUCGUUGCGUCACCCCAGAGAAACUUGUAUAUCAAGGAGAACCUACACAAUCCUAACUGCUGCCUGCUCUGCCUCUCCUUCUCUCCCUUCCUUCUUUCUCUCCUACUAUUUUUUUCUUUAGUUGUGUGAGUUCUUGUUUUUCACUAGAAAUCAAAGAAAUUGUCUCAGUUAUACCUCUGGACUUGGAAGAUCGAGAAAUAAAAUGGAUGGAUCAGGUGCUGAGAUAAAUGUAUCAAUAUCAAGAUUCUACAAAUUUAAAUCUUCAGGCCUAAAGUACACAUGAGAACAUAAACCUCAAAGAAUUUAUACCAACCCUAACAUAGCUGUGAAAUUUUCUCACAAAUAAAGAAGUAUCUAAACCUAUUUGAUGAAAAAGUUAAAGGGCAAAUUCAAAAGGUUAACAUUUAUUUUUCCCUAAUUUAGCACAAUGAAAUAAUUAUAGAGUACAUUAUGAGGAAAUACACAAUAAAGCAUAUUUUUAA
rnacentral:lncRNA from 1 species